rnacentral:rRNA from 1 species
GACAGAGGGUGCAAACGUUGUUCGGAAUUACUGGGCGUAAAGCGCGUGUAGGCGGCCCUGCAAGUCGGAUGUGAAAUCCCACGGCUCAACCGUGGAACUGCUGGGUAUACUGGUUGUCUUGAGCCAGCUAGGGGCGAGCGGAACAGACGGUGGAGCGGUGAAAUGCGUAGAGAUCGGGAAGAACACCAACGGCGAAAGCACUCUGCUGGGCCGAAACUGACACUGAGAGACGAAAGCUAGGGGAGCAAAUGGG